UUUAUUUAUUUUUUUUAAAGCAAGGCAGACUGCCACCUGCAGCACCUCAUUUGGAUGUGUCUGGAAUCUCGGAAGCUUGACUACCCUACGUUCUCCUACAAAUGGACCUGGAGAGCUUGUUUGGGGGGGUGGGCCUCCCUUUCC